GCAGAAGCCGCUGGGAAGGCUCCCGCGAGGCCACUCGUUUGCGGGCGAAAUGCCUCAAAUGAUGUUGCUGGAAAGCAAGUCAGAUGAUGCGACGAUUUCCAUGCUCCUUGCUUCAUGACAUUGACGUUCUACAAAAGUGAGACUGGUAAUGCAGAUAGUUUUCUCUGCUUUACCCAGCGGCGAUUUUCCGCCAGAAGUGGGUCACGGUGUAUACAAUAGCUGUCGGGUUCUGUACGGCGUAUCUCUCAAAACCCGUAGUGGCACACCAGUCUAUGCCAUUCCCUGUCAUGUUUCCCGCUUUGUGGUUCGCUUUCGCAGUGGCCAACUCCCCAGGAAAUCCAACGACUGCUCUGAGGGCGUGCUGCUUCUGUAAAGACGCCCUGUAAACUGGAGGGUCAAGCGAAUCAAGUUAUGUAAAAGUGCGACUCGAUGGCGCGUGUGCGUCAUGCCACAUCACAUCCCGGAGCCAGCAUGCCGCCGGAGACAUUGCACGGUCUCUCCUGGUGUGUGAUGUGAAGUGUGGGCUCCCCUUCUGACGAAAACUGAAGCGUGUCAUGACAUCGAUCCAUCUCUCGGAAUACGCAUUGCGCCUGCGCAGCGAACGAGACGAGUUGCUUUCAUAGGGGCUUGUGCGCCAACGCAGAUCCGAGACGACACCAACAGACAACGCUGCCUUUCAGUUUUCCUCUUCUGACAUCCCCGGAUGCCUCUCAAGGGGGGGUCCUCAUUGAGCGUUGUCUCCGUAGGCAAGAUGCCGCCAGCGAUGGCUGACGCAGAAGCAAUGCCUGCAAAGCAUGCUGAAAAACCGCC
rnacentral:lncRNA from 1 species